rfam:Oryza brachyantha chromosome 5, whole genome shotgun sequence.
AAUAAACGAAUUCAUGUGUUUUUGGAUAGAAUUUUUGACUCUUUGUCUUAUUUAAAAUUUUUUAUGAUUAAUAUUUUAUUGUUACUACAUGAUAAAGCAUGAAUGGUACUUUACGUGCGACUAUUUUUUUUAACUUUUUAAUAAAUUUUUCAAAUAAGACGGAUGGUCAAACGCUCGAUCUACAAAACCCAGGAAUGCUCUUUUU